rnacentral:rRNA from 1 species
AAUCAACGCUGGCGGCGUGCCUCAGACAUGCAAGUCGAACGAGAAAGUUCCCUUCGGGGAAUAAGUAAAGUGGCGCACGGGUGAGUAACACGUAGGUAAUCUACCUUCGGGUGGGGAAUAACCCAGGGAAACUUGGGCUAACACCGCAUAAUGCAGCGGCACCACAUGGUGACAGUUGUUAAAGCGGGGGAGUUUUCGGUACCUCGCGCCUGAAGAGGAGCCUGCGGCAGAUUAGCUAGUUGGUAAGGUAACGGCUUACCAAGGCGACGAUCUGUAGCCGGCCUGAGAGGGCGGUCGGCCACACUGACACUGACAUACGGGUCAGACUCCUACGGGAGGCAGCAGUCGGGAAUUUUGGGCAAUGGGCGAAAGCCUGACCCAGCAACGCCGCGUGAAGGAUGAAAUCCCUCGGGAUGUAAACUCCUGUCGAGCGGGAAGAACGCCUCGUGGGCGAAUAGCCU